rnacentral:tRNA from 1 species
GGGGAUAUAGCUCAAUUGGUAGAGUGCUUACCUCACGUGCAUAAGGACCUGGGUUCAAUCCCAGCACCACCA